AAGUCGCUUAAAUCAUUCAUUACAUAAUUCUAGCAUGAAGUAAUUUCACUGUUCUUAAUGUACAUGAAAAGGCUUCGAAGUUAAAUCAACUGUUAUAAAGAUUCUCGUUUAUUUGCACUGAAAAGCUAAAUGAAUGUCUGGAAAAAAGACCCCGCCCCUCCUUAACGAAAUACCACCACCCUUGAAGAAUACAAGCUGUUGCUGUUGAAGGACUUUGAGAACAACUUCGACAAGAGUUUAAUUAUCUCAAUUCCAAGGACUCUCCCACAAAGCUCAAUUGUUUAGAGUUGGAUUGAAGGAGACAUUGCCCAACUCUUCUCUUUUCUAGAAGCUACUGAAGUUAUACCCGCAUUGCAACAUCCAUACAAACAUUAACAAACGUAGAUUGAUCAUUUUAACAGGUCCUCCAUAGAGCUCCUAUCUAACAUCUAACAUUAUAGCGAAUUUUUUUAAUAAGAAAUUAACUUUGACGCAAAUUACCGAAUAAAGAUUGGUAUGCCAA